rnacentral:lncRNA from 1 species
GUUUAAUAGAUUUUUAGAUGCAAGAAACUGUUAGAGAAAUAGCGGAGUCCAAAACGGUGCCACCUCACUCUAGCGACGUAGAAAUCGGCAGUUACCUCUUUGAUUUUCUCUUUGCCGCUCAAGACGCCUCCACUUCGUCGCUUCUCUGGACAGUGACCCUCCUCGACUCUCAUCCCGAUGUUCUCCGGAGAGUUCGGGAGGAAGUGUCAAGGAUUUGGUCGCCGGAGUCGGAUACUUUAAUAAGCGCAGAGCAACUGAGGGAAAUGAAGUACACUCAAGCAGUGGCGCGUGAGGUUAUAAGAUAUCGGCCCCCGGCGACGCUAGUACCGCACAUUGCGAUGAAGGAUUUCCCCUUGACCGAGUCGUACACGAUUCCCAAGGGCACGAUUGUGUUCCCCUCGGUUUACGAAUCAUCCUUCCAAGGGUUCACGGAGGCGGACCGGUUCGAACCGGAGCGAUUCUCGGAGGAUAGGCAAGAGGAGGUGAUUUUCAAACGAAACUACCUGGCUUUCGGUGCUGGGCCCCACCAGUGCGUGGGCCAAAGGUACGCCUUAAAUCAUCUGGUGCUUUUCAUUGCCAUGUUCGUCACGGUGCUCGAUUUCAAGCGACACCGAACCGAGGGCUGUGAUGAAAUCAUGUAUUGCCCGACCAUCUGUCCCAAAGACGGCUGCCGCGUCUCCUUAUCUCGGAGGUGCUCGCGUUAUCCCAAUGUCUCUCUUAAUUGACCAAAAAGCCCUCCAAAGUUCUCUCGCCUUCUUUUCCGGUAAACUUGGUAGCUCUCUGUGAUUUUUGUCCUUUGCUGCUUCUCACGUCCUUCAAGGCUGGGACCGUCAAACCUUGUUUGUGGCUAUGAUUCUUUGAUGUGAGGUAUUUUUAUGUACAUACAAAUUGGAGGGUUUGGAUAAUUUCUUCUUUUUUUCCCUUAAUUUAAUAAAUGAAAAUUGAUUGGUGUUUUAUCAAAUAAACAAAAAAUUGUAUUUUAAAGUUGUAAUGUUCAUUCCACCAAAAAAAAAAAAAAAGUUGUAAUGUUCAUUGUCUUUUACUUUCUCAUUGUAAGUUGAGAUUCACAUGACUGGAUAAGUUCGAAAAGGUCCUUAAAAUAUUAAUUGGUCACAAUAAUUACUAUAAUUACAAAGGACAAUCCUGCAUACAAAAUUCAUAAACUUGUUUAUAUAACCAUUGCAAUAAUUUAAGACAGCUUACUCCAAUAAUAGAGUUAUGUGUUUGCAUAAUAAUAAUUGUGUCAUUUGAUCACUAUCUUCUUUAUUUGCAUCAGUAUCCUUGGAAUAUAAUUUGGCAUUUUAGGUAAAAAUGGCAAUAAUUCUGAGUUUGAAAAUAUUUACUCUUAAAAUUAGCUUUUUUAAUACGAUAAAAGUAUUUUAUGCAUUAGUUAGUACUCAUUUGUGUUUGACUCAAAGCAAUCCAUGUUAUACUCGUGCCCAUAUCGUCUUCGCUACCGACAUAAAUUUGUUGCCCAGUACUAUUUUUGGAUUUAUUUUUUUAAAAUAUUUUUCAUUUUUAUUUUUUAAUUUUUUAAUAAAUUAUGUUACAAGAAGGAGAAUUUAGGUUGGAUCCCACUAUCUUAUCCUUACUCUCAAUUAAGUUUAAUAAUUUAAUUUUAAAUAUAAUUAUAAAAAAUUAAUUUUAAUUUAACAUAUUGAAAUUUUAUAUUAAUCAAUUUAAAUUAAAAUUGAUCGAAAUGGGUCAAAAUACAACUAAAUGUUUGAACUCCCCUCAAAUUUUAAUCAAAAGUUACGAUUUGAUACCAAAUUAGAACCUUAACAACAUGUAUUGACUUAAAUGAUAUUAACUAUUAUGAUUUGUGUUGAUAUCAUUUAGAUGGACAUGAAAUUUAGACUGCAACAUAAAAAUUCAAAAAUUAUCUUCUUGAUUUUAAUUUGUAUCUGUAUUUAUUUAAGUGAUAUGGAAUAACAUUGGCUAAGAUAUUAAAAGUUAAUGAUUAAUCAGAUUUAGUUUUUUAGCAGAUAUAUAAUUAAAUAUUCAAUUGCAAAAGUUAUAUUUAUCCAGAUCUGAAGGUUCGUUUGAAAAGUGGAUAAAUUUAAGCAAAAAUAUAGGUCCGAAAAUAGGCUUGGACAAAAAAUAAUACUUAUUUUCUAAACGAGUCAAGUCUUGACUAGUUUUUUUCUUGAGCCCAGUCUAAAUUUGCCUAAAUAUUUUUUCAUUGUUGUUUGGUACUAUUUUGCUGUGGUUUGCUACAAUUUUGAAGGUAUUUAUUUGUUGUAUUAUAAUUAUCUUAGUAUUAUUUAAUUAUAAAGACUUUUUUUAAUGUAUAUUUAAUUUGUUCAAAAAUAUUUAUCCUAAUAUUUUUAGUGUAUUUAAUGUAUUAUAUUUUUAUUUAUAAAAAAUAAAACGGGCUGGUCAAGUCAGGCUCAACAUUUUUUAUUUAGGUUAAACUUAAACAAAAUUUUAAGCUCAUUUCUCAGAUUGAGCCAUACCUACGCCUAGAAAACGGGCUUAACAUUUUGCAUUGAUCCGAUCUAGCCCCCUCAAAAUUAAAAGAAAUGAGGAAUUAAAGGUAUUAUUAUAUCAUAAAUUUAUACUUUAGAAGUUUAAAAUGGGGUUAAUUUAUAUUUUAAUGCUGGAAAAAAAAUUAUACAAAUUACUAUUUUUUAACUGCAAGAAAAAAAAGAAAAUAAUUUUUAUCUAAAUAAAAACGUGUUCUAUAAGUCACAUUUUUACUUUUCUUAAAAAACAACAUAAAUCGAUAAAUUUUAACUUAGUUUCUCAAAUAAAAUUUUCCAAUAUAUACAUAAAUUAACAUUUAAAAUGGUUAAAAAGUGUUAUUUAUUUACUUCACUUUAGGGUAACAGUGUUAAAUUAUUUCUCAAAAAAGAAAAACAAAAUAGAAAAGGAGAUAUGGCUAAAUUAUAGCACGAGAAAGAUGAAUGGUUAUAAAUGUAAGGCGUUGGGUCUUUAUUGGUCAACUAUUCCCAGGACCGGGAUGUGACGAUCCAUUUAUUAAUUAAAACCUUCUAGAAAGAUUGAAUUUGAAAUUUAAAAUAUGUUUGGUUUUAUUUGUGUUUCGAGAUCACAUAUUUGGAAAUCAAUAUGAUCCCAUUGAUUUGAAUUUUCAAUAAUAUUAUUAAAAGAAGUUAAUAAAGCUUAUAAGAUGAUCAAGGUUAGGAAAAAAAAUAAAAACAGACUAUAUCCCACUUUUAAACAUUUAAGAGGCCCCAAAGAACAUUCAAAAAAACUAAGGCCCUAAAUUAAAACACGAGCAGCGUUAGAAUUUGUUAUAUUCCUGGAAAGAUUUUCCUUUUUCUUUUGAAUAGAAUUCUCCGUCCCAGCUGGAUAUAUAAAAUAAAUAAAAUACUAAAUUUAUAUUUUGAGCAUUCAAUUUUAAAAUAUUAUAAAAUAAUCAUUGAAUUAUUUGAAAGCUUUUAUUUAAAUCAUUAUGUUGUUAAAAUCAUUAUUGUACGACUUUCUCUAUUUGCAUAGCCUACAACAAUCAAAAACUCUUUUUUUUUUCUUAUAUUCUAUGUUUAAUUUUUUUCCAUUAAACGACUUUAAACGUCACGAUUUUGUAAACUAAAAGUCAAACAAGCUUCUUCUAUGAUCUCUCACAUCGACUGUCAGAUUGAUUUGGAUCUUAGGUAUAUCCUUCUAUUUGUCGAUGGGUAUUUAUCCACCAUAUUGACCAUCGGAUUGUUGCUUACAGAUCAUUAGCUGAACUUUAUAAAAGUAAAAUUUAACAACCUAGUGAUUUAAAUAAAAACUUUUGAAUAGUUUGAUGACUUCAAUGAAAAUUUCAAAAAUUCAAUGACCAAUUUAUAAAAUUUUAAAAUUAAGUGACCAAAACAUAAAUUUAUAAAUAAUUUAGGUACUUUAAAUGUACUAUACUCAUAUAAAAAAAUAGACACUGUGAACCGGUGGUGCCACUUUCAACCUUUUGAUUGUAAACUCUCAAUGACAAAUAGGGUUUGGUUGUUUAUAACCAUUAGCUUUUAAUGUCACAUGUGUUAUACAUUAUUUUAUACAUUUUUAAUUUAUUGAACAAUAUAUUUUAAAUUUAAAAAAUACAUUUAUAUUAAUUAAAUGAUAUUUAGUUUAAUUUGUACUAAAUGUCAAUUUCUUUUGAAAAAUAAUUCGAGAGGCUAAAAGAUCGUAUUGAAAAUAAUAAAAACAAAAAUUUAAUUAAUAUAUAAAAUUUUCAAAAUAAUAUACAAAUUUGAAAAUAUAUGAGAAAGUAAGUACAAAAAUAUUUACACUAAAUCAACGAUCACUAAAAAAUAGGGGCAAUUUACAAGAAAAAGUCUUUUUUUUUAAGUAUUUAUGGAAAUGGGCCAACUUUUUUAUUAUUUACUGGAAAGGGUCGAAUUCCCCGAAAACGCGUCCAAGUCAGCGCGAUGUCAGGUGACAUGUCAGCAAAACGUGUCUCUGGGGGUUUGCCUUUUUUUAGGAUUUGGAUUUUUUUGCAUUUAGGGAUAGGGUUUAGGGUUUUAAGGAUUAGGAUUUAGGAUUUAGGGUUUUUUAAAAAAAUUAAAUAAAUUAGGGUUUUAGGUUUUGGGUUACUUAAUUAAAUUAACUAUUAAUUUUAAAAAUAAAUUAGAUUAAGGUUUAGGGUUUAUGGUUAAUUAAUAAAAUUAUGGAUUAGUUUUUUUUAAUAAUUUUGUGUUUAGGGUUAUGGAAAAAUAUAUUAGCAAUAAAAAAAAUUUCUGCAGUAGUUUCUGAAAAAAUAAAUUAGAAAAGACGUAUCUGAAAAAAUAAUUUUGAGAAAAUGUUUCUGAACAAAUAGUGUCAAAAACGUUUUAAGCAUGAUGCACUGUCAGCAAAAGUACUGAAAAAAGCUACCACUAGGACUUUUUUUCUACAGUAGUUUUUGAAAAAAUAAUUUUGAGAAUAUGUUUCUGAACAAAUAGUGUCAAAAAUACUUCGACCAGGAUGCACUGUCAGCAAAAGUACUGCAAAAAGCUCCCACGUGGAUGCUCUUUUUCUAUAGUAGUUUCUAAAAAAAUAAUUUUGAGAAAAUGUUUUUGAACAAAUAGUGUCAAAAACGCUUCAAGCAGGAUGCACUGUCAGCAAAAGUACUGAAAAAAACUCCCACGUGUACGUUCUUUUUCUACAGUAGUUCAUAUUUGGCCUGAGGCUAUAAAUGAGCCAAAUUUUAUUCUCAGGUUGCAUAAGAUACAGCAAGAAAAAUUAAAGACGUUAAACAGAAUAAAAAUUAAAGAUGAGUAAACGUAUUAGUGUUGUUAUUUACUAUGAUGGUAAUGUCCGUCACACCGAGAAUGGCAUUAUUUUUUUUAUCAAAAAAUACAGUGCGACUGGUUUUUAACCAGAACAUAGAUUUGACAGAACUUUGUAAAAGAAUUAGGCGUAAAAUCUUUGGAACGACGCUAAUGAAAGUUUUGUCUAUUAGGUAUCAAAGGCACUCGUAGCUUAGAGGCAAUGAUGCAGACUUAUCUUGCUAGUGAAUCACCCUAUAUUGAGUUAUAUGUAUAAUUUUCAUUACCAAAUGAUGCAUUUGCGACUUCAACAUCUACUGCUCUUCGAGAGGAAUACACGACCCCUGCCUGACACUCUAUUAGUGGGUUGCAAAAUAGGGAAGCGCCCAUUUUUGUUAGCAGUAUGGAAUACACAACCCUUGCACGACAUUCCGUCAGUAGAUGAGACAUGCACCUUCGGUGGGUCGAUGUUUGAUGAUAAAAAUACUUACUGGGAAUGACAUAACUGUAACGACUUAAUUUUCAGUGGUGUCGGAAAUGGUGAUUUGAGAUCACUAAAUCCGACAAAUAAGAUUGAACAAGAUAUUAAUUUAAUAUUUAUGAGUCAAGUAAGGAUUUAGAAGAAUUUUUAAAAUAGUGAAAUUAGUGAAUUAAAAGAAUUUAUUAGGUUAAACGGGUCAAAAAUGAGGUAUCGAGACCUCAAAAUUGAAAAUCGAGCUAUAAAUAUUUUUAUAAAUAUUUUUGGAGUGUCAUUGAGUUAGUAUUAAAGUUUCGUUAGAAAAUUUUAACGUUUGGAUGACUAAUUAAUUAAAAAGGACUAAAUUGAAAAUAGCGCAAAAUUUGUUAAAUUGUGAGUAAAUAGCUUAAGUAUUUAAAAAGAUGGAUUUAAAGAGCAAUUAGACCCAAAGGUUAAUGGCUGGACGGUUUGGGUAUGAAAUAAGCAAGAAAACAAUGUGAAAAGGGGCAAAAUUGGAAAUAGCAUAAAAGUUAAUAGUUAAAUAAUGAUGUAAUUGAAAAAUCUAGACAUUUCUUCAUAUUUUCUCAGCCAAAACGCCAUAGAAGGCCUGGAGAAAGCUGGUUUUUCAUAUUUUUACAUCAUGUGAGUUUAAUUCUUGCUUUUUCUUGAUAAUUUUUAUGUUUUUAUGACUUUUACAAUUAGGUCCACUUAUAGAAUUCAUUAGUUUUUGAUUUUAUGGGUGAAAUUGGAAGUUAACCUGGAUGGAUAAGGGAAGUUUAUGAUGAAUUAUUAUGAAAUUUAAGUUCUAAUUUCAUAUUAAGGUGGUUUUAUUAAGUGAUUUUGAUAGGAAAUGAUAUUUAGGACCUAAUUGUGAAAAGGUUGUGAAUUGAAGGUUUCUGUUGAAAUUCAGAAUAUAAAAGGUUUUUAAAUAGUUUAUAAUGAUAAAAUAAAGUGUUAAUUGAGAAAAAUUAGUUCAAUUGACGGGUGAAUUGAGCAGGGACUAAAUUGUGAAAACUAUAAAUUUUGGGGUAAAAGUGCAAUUUCGAAAUUUGAACAGCAUAAAUUGUGAAGUGAAAUAGAAAUCAAAUAAAUGCUAAUGAGUAGAAAUAUUUUAUAUUAUAGAUCAAGAAUCGAAAGAAGAACAAGGAAAAGAAAAAGUUGCGGAAUAGUCCCUAAAUUUCAAUAUCUUCUACAAAUUAGCCGGGUAAGUUCAUAUGGUUGAAUUUAGAUGUUUAUUUGUGAAUGAUUGAAGUAUAUAAUGUGUUAUUAUAUACAAAUUUGUUGUGGGAUUGUGUAGAUUUUGUUAAUGAAAGAAUAAAUGUGGAAAUGCAAAUUAGGAAAAACGCAGGAUUGAGUACGUUCGUAUCGUGACGUGUGAUGAAUUGACGGAUAAGACUAUGGUUGUUCCAUGGCAAAGUGUGAAUGUAGGUAUGGUAUCAUCCAUACUGAGUUGUGAAAUGUAGGUAUGGUAUUAUCCAUACUGAGUUGUGAAAUGUAGGUAUGGUAUUAUCAAAUCCAUACUGAGUUAAGAAAUGUAGGUAUGGCAUUUCCCAUACCGAGUUGAAAAAUGUAGGUAUGGUAUUUCAAUGAGGAAAAGCAUACUGAGUUGUGAAUCGUGGCGUUGAGCAACGACGUACUCAAUUUCGUAAGUCGUUUCCUAAUUUGAUUAUAAGAAAUAAAAGAGAAGUGAUCCAAAUGAAAGAGAUUGAGUAGUUGUUACUGUUGAGCUCAACUAUGUGAAUUAUUAUAACAAUGGUUGUGAAUCGCAGGAAACUUUAGUAAAUGUUUUGGUAUUUUUUGGCAAUAUUAUGUUUGGUAAGCAUUACUUUUAAACCUAUGAACUUACUAAGCUUCAAUAAGCUUACUUGUGCGUGUUUAAAAUUUUUAUGUAGAUUGACUUGAAGUGAAGUGGGUAGAUUGGAUCAACACAACAAAGCACACUAUCCAGAUCAAUUCCGAUAGCUUUUGUUUUAUGUUUGAAGAUUUAUAUGGCAUGUAUAGAGUUUAAAUGAAAUGAAGUAAAGAUGUCAACAUUUUGUACUAAAAUAGUUUUUGGUUAGUAGUAGUAGUUUGAAUUUGAAAAUUCACCAUAAAUUAUGAAAAUCUCAUUAUAGGUUGAAUAAAAUAUGAAAUUAAAUCUUAUUGAAUCUAGUUUCACAUAGAAGAAACGGUGUAAGCAAAAGGCUUUCAUAUCAGGAGAUAUUUGAAUUUUUGUGAGACAAGGCCAGAGUGAUUUUAAACUCCCCUGUUCUGAUUUGUAAAAAUCAUUAAAAAUUGUACAAAAAUAUUUAGGAGUCAUACUAUAUAUAUAUGGAUUCCUUAUUGAGUCUAUUUUUAAUAGAAACAAUCGUCUUGGUUAUUUUAAUUCUAUACAUGGAGAAAUUUGGUUUGUAGUGCACAGGGGUUAGAGUAGCCGAACCCUGAAACAUGGGAGACUUCAACUAAUAAAUUGUACUAAUUGGCCCAACCAAAAAUUCUAGAAAAAAAUUAGUAAGUAGAUAUAUGAGCCUAGAUUCGGGAAAAAUUUACGGAUUUGAAUUUUGAGUUUUGUAACUCGAGAUAUGAUUUUUUUUGAGUCUGUAAUGCAGUUGGAUAGCUUGUUUGGAAAGUGUGAUAUAAAUUGUUUGAAUUUGUUUAAGUGCUCAAAUAAGUUUAGUAAUGCCUCGUUCUCGACUCUGGCGAUGGUCUCGGGUAAAGGGGGCGUUACAUUUAUUGGUAUCAGAGCUUUGGUUUAGUCAAUUCUCGGAACAAAUUUGAUGUGUAAAGUGUUUAAAAAUACAUGCCAUAUAAAUCUGUGAUAGUGUGAUGUGAAUGAUCCGAUCUAAUUACUAAUUUUUGUUAUAGAUUGUAAAGAUGUCUGAUAGACCUGAUGGUGUGUAAUAUUCCGAAAUAGGGCCUAAACGGAAUAGUGGUUGCGAAACCACAAAUCCGAGGUAGAAAAAAAUUUAUUUUAUUAUUAUUUUGAGGUUCAUGGUAUGAUUACAUGAUUGUGCGAAAAUUUCGUGAUAAAAUUCUAUGCAUAAAGUGCUUAAGUUGAGGUUAGGGACUAAAUCGAAUAAUUUACAAAACUUGCAUUCUAGAAGUUUUUAGUAUGAAAUUAUUUUGGAAUAUUAAUUAGGAGAUCUUAAAUGGUAAUUUGACCAAUUUUAAGUUCAUGGACAAAAUUAGGACAUGGAAGGAAUUUUUGAAAGUUUAGUAAGGAGGGGUAUUUUGGUCAUUUGGUUAUUAACAUUAAUAAAAAGGUAAAAAGAUGAUAAAAUUGUAUCAUCUUCUUCAAGUUACCAGCCGAACCUUACCUCUCUCCAUAGCUGGGGUUUCUUCAACUUUCAAGCUUUAUAGUAAGUGAUUCCAAGCCCCGUUUUUAAUGAUCUUUACGUUUUUUAAGUCCCGGUAGCUCGAUAAAGCUUAUGCUAGCAAUAAUUUAAGUUAGGAAUCAAAUUUGGAAAAAUACCCAUAGGUGAAAUUUGUGUAUUUUGAUAUUUUAUGAUGGAAUAUGAGGCUUUAAAUUAUGUUAGACAACUUGUGCUACUUGGUUUUAAGUGAAAACGAGUAAAAAGGCUUAAUCGGUAAAAAUACCUAAUAGUCAUAAGUACAUGUUAGUGUGUGAAUUUGAUGUUGUCAUAGAAGGGAAAAAUGAUCAGUAUGUCAUAAAACAUAAGAAAAUAGGAUGAAGUUUAAUUUACGAGCCUUGUGGCAAAAGUGCAAAUAUGUGAAAGUUUAGGGGCAAAAAUGUGAUUUUGCCAAAGAUUGAGUAAAGGGUUGUUUUGAUAAAUGUUGAUAUUAAAUAAGCUAAAUUUGCUAUUAUAGAUCAAGAAGAGCGAAAUUCGGGAGUAGAUCGGGGAAAAGAAAAAGUAAAGGACUAAAUUGUAAACUUUAGUCACAUUUUGUAUCGAGGUAAGUUUACAGUAAAUAAAUGCAAUAUUCUUUUAUUUUACAUUAUUAUUGUCAAUUUCCAGCAUUUAUAUAUUUAUGUUAUGAAAAUAUUUAAAGUCGAAUUUAAGGUGAAGUGAUAGAGGAAAAGUGUUAGAAAGCCCCGGUUGAACCCUAGGAAUGUUAGGAUAUUAGGGUUGACAGGACAGAACAGAAAUGAGCCAUGUAAGUCCAUAUUAGAAAUAUGGCUUUGGAUACAAGAUCGAGCCAUGUAAGUCCAUAUUAUAUAUGGCAUUGGAGACAGGAAUAAUUCAUGUAAGUCCAUGUCAAAGACAUGGCAUUAGCAGGGUAUUGAUAGACAGGAAUGACCCUAGUAUCCUUAGUAGUCCGAGUGGUUCAACGGGUCAGAAUACGAGUUAAAUUACAGUGAAUUAACAGCAAAGGAAAAGUAGAUUAUAUUUAUGAAAAAGGAAAGGUCAAGUAAGAAAGAAGGUAAGGGAAUAAAGAAGAAGAUAGAAAUUGAGAAGUAAAGAAAUUUAUGAUGUUAGAUGAUAUUAUGCAUAAUUAUCCAUUAUGUUGAAUGUUGUGAUUUAUUUGCUUGUAAGCUUACUAAGCCUAGUGCUUAAUCUCUUCAUUUUCUUCUUCUUAUAGUACUUAUCUAGCCACUCGGGGAUCGAAGGAAACGUCGGAGGCCGAUCACACUAUCAAAGAAAUAACUCGGUAUAAUUAGACGUUUUGUUUUGUGUAUGGCAUGUAUAGAAACUUAGCUACUUUUGGUAUAAUAUGAACAAUGAAUGAUGUGUAAAUACUUGCUAGAGAUUAGCUAAUAAAAAUGGCCGAUGAUAUGCAUGUUUAUUAAUAUGUAUGAUUGAAUGGUGAUUAUCACAUGAAAAUUAUGAAAAAUGUGAAAGUAACCUAAAAACAGAUUCAAGUAACAGAAAUGACGUAACUUUGAAAAAUCACUAAAAAUUGUAGAAACAUAGUUUGAAGAUGAAUAAUAUAUUAAAUUAAAGCUUAUUAUGUCUAUUUUCUUAUGGAAUAAGAAAAACAGGUAAAGGUAUUAUAUUAUAUGAUAUAUCUGAGUUUUAGUGAAACAGGGUCAGAGCGAUUUCUGGAUCCCCUGUUUCAACUUUGGAAAUUCACCAUAAAUUGUAAAAAACUAAUUAGAAGGUUUACUUUAUAUGGUUAUAAUCCUUGUUGAGUCUAUUUUUAAGAGAACAAACGGCUUAGUGAUAUGAAUUUUGUACAGGAAGAAACAUGGUUUGUAGCAAGAAGAGGUUAGUGCAGUCGAGUUUUGAAACAAGGGAAACUUUAACUAAUAAACUGUACUAAUUGGCCAAGUCAAAAAUCUAUGAAAAAAUUUAGUGGAUAGAUAUAUGAGUCUAGUUUCAGGAAAAAUUUACGGAUCUUAAUUUUGAGUUUUGGAACUCAAGAUAUGAAUUUUUAGGCGACUACGACGCAGAAUGGCAGCACAUUCCGAAAAGCUUAAAUAAACAAUUUAAAACUAUUUAAGUGAUAGAUUAAGUUUAGUAAUGCCUCGUGCUCGAUUCUGGCAACAGUCUCUGGUAAGGAGUGUUACAUUUAUUGGUAUCAGAGCAGGUUUAGUCGGUUCUCGGAAUAGUUAGUGUGAGAAAAAGUCUAGCUAUACAUGCCAUACUUGUAUUUUGAUAGUGUGACGACUCCUGACAAUUUUUUUAAUAAACAUUUUGUUUUAUAGUAAUGGAUCCCGGGCGAGCUGGUGAUGAUGAUGUAGAAAGUAAUGCGCCUGCUUCCACAGAAGGGGCAGCACCAUCUGAGAAUAGGCCAGUAAUAGUUGAUCAGGGAGGAGUGACUCAAGAAGCUCUCUUCCGAGCUUUGAAUGAUUUGUUUGCUGAGUUCGUUCGUACGAAUCCGGCAGUUAGACCUCCACCCCCUCAUCAUUCUCAGGCUACCCAUGCAGCUCAAGCUUCCCCAGUCACAGGUACAGUGGUAAGAGAAAAGCCACCAGUUGAUAGAAUCAGGAAAUAAGGGGCAGAAGAGUUCCGAGCAACAAAAGAUGAUGAUGCAGAAAGAGCAGAAUUUUGGUUAGAAAAUACUAUCAGAGUCUUUGACGAAUUAUCUUGUACACCCGAGGAGUGUCUGAAAUGUGUAGUAUCACUUCUUAGAGACUCAGCCUACUACUGGUGGAAGACACUUGUAUCAGUUUUACCGAAAAAGAGGGUCACUUGGAAUUUCUUUCAGGAAGAAUUUCGUAAAAAGUACAUCAGUCAGAGGUUUAUUGACCAGAAAAGAAAGGAAUUCCUAGAAUUGAAACAAGGCAAUAUGACGGUGACCGAUUAUGAGCGUGAAUUUGUCAGGCUCAGUAAAUAUGCUCAAGAAUGUGUGUCCACAGAGGCUAUCAUGUGUAAAAGGUUUGAGGAUGGGUUAAAUGAUGAUAUCCGACUGUCAGUGGGUGUCCUAAAAAUAAAAGAGUUCGUUAUUUUAGUUGAGAGAGCCUGUAAGGCAGAGGAGCUAUUAAAAAGAAAAGGCAAAGUUGAGACAGAGAUACAAGAUACAAAGAAGAGACAGAUGAGCAGAUCAUUUCAGGCUACAUCCAAGAGGCCCAAAGAGUUUUCUACCAGAUCUAGCUUUUCGGCAGGGCAAUCUAGUCAGAAUAGAGGUAGCAGAUUUAAGGAUCCGAAGGCUCAGACCACCUCGACUACGAGUGUAGGUAAUGUCAGACAGGGUAGAUCAGGGUGUCCACGGUGUGGUAGACUUCGUUAUGGUCCUUGUCGGGCAGGCGAAAAUGUUUACUAUAAAUGUGGUGCUCCAGAUCAUUUUGUACGAGAAUGUCCAGAAGUGGCUAGCCGAGAGGUAACACAGAGUGCUAGAUCCGGAAAUGCUCCUACUAGAGGCAGAUCACCGAGGCAACUAGGAGUAGGAGCAAGUAACAGAGGUACCUCUAGAGAUUCGACUGUGAGACCAGAUGUUAGAGCCCCUGCAAGGACUUAUGCUAUUCGUGCACGCGAAGAGGCAUCCUCCCCCGAUGUGAUUACGGGUACAUUUUCUCUACAUGAUAUUAAUGUCAUUGCUCUGAUUGAUCCGGGUUCGACUCAUUCUUAUGUUUGUAUGAAAUUGAUGCCUAGUAUAAGUAUGCCUAUAGAAUCUACAAAAUUUGUGAUUAAAGUAUCGAAUCCAUUAGGCAAGCAUGUAUUAGUAGAUAAAGUAUGUAGAAAUUGUCCUUUAAUGAUUAGAGGCUACUAUUUUCCGGCCGAUCUCAUGCUAUUGCCAUUUGAUGAGUUUGAUGUGAUUCUUGGUAUGGAUUGGUUGACUACUCAUGAUGUGAUAGUGAAUUGUGGAAAGAAAUUCAUUGAGUUGAAGUGUGAAAAUGGUGAAAUUCUUCGGGUUAAUUCAGAAGAGUCAGAUAGUUCAUUUCCCAUAAUUUCUAUUAUGUCUGCUCAGAAAUACUUGAGAAAAGGGUAUGAAGCUUAUCUUGUUUUUGUGUUGAACACUAAAGAUCCAGAAUUGAAAAUUAAAUCAGUGCCUGUGGUAUGUGAGUUUCACGAUGUGUUUCCGGAAGAACUACCAGGUUUGCCUCCUGUUAGAGAAGUUGAGUUUGGUAUUGAGUUGAUUCCAGGUACCUCGCCCAUUUCUAUUGCUCCUUAUAGAAUGGCUCUAUUGGAAUUGAAAGAAUUGAAAGCUCAGUUGCAGGAAUUAACAGAUAAAGGCUUUGUAAGACCCAGUAGUUCACCAUGGGGUGCACCAGUGCUAUUUGUGAAAAAAAAAGACGGAUCGAUGAGAUUGUGCAUAGAUUAUCGGCAACUUAACAAGGUAACAGUAAAGAACAAGUAUCCAUUGCCUAGAAUUGAUGAUUUGUUUGAUCAAUUGAAGGGAGCUACUGUGUUUUCCAAGAUAGAUUUGAGAUCCGGAUACUAUCAGUUGCGAGUUAAAGAGUCAGAUGUCCUGAAGACUGCUUUCCGGACUAGGUAUGGUCAUUAUGAGUUCCUUGUGAUGCCAUUUGGCUUGACUAAUGCUCCUGCCAUUUUCAUGGACUUAAUGAACCGAAUUUUUAGACCAUACUUAGAUAAGUUUGUAGUUGUGUUCAUUGAUGAUAUUUUGAUUUAUUCUCAUGAUGAGACUGAGCAUGCAGAGCAUUUGAGAAUAGUUUUACAAAUUCUGAGAGAUAAUUAGUUGUAUGCCAAGUUCAGCAAAAGUGAGUUCUGGUUACGAGAAGUUGGAUUUCUUGGACAUAUUGUCUCAGGUGAAGGUAUUAAGGUUGAUACGAGUAAGAUUUCAGCCAUUGUUGAUUGGAAGCCUCCUAGAAAUGUAUCAGAAGUUAGAAGUUUUCUUGGUCUUGCCGGAUAUUAUAGACGAUUUGUGGAAGGAUUUUCCAUGAUAGCUACCCUGUUGACGAGACUGCUACGGAAGGAUGUUAAGUUUGAAUGGACUGAGAAGUGCCAACAAAGUUUUGACAAGUUAAAGGCAUUGUUGACGGAAGCUCCUAUCUUAGUACAGCCGGAACCGGGUAAAGAAUUUAUGAUUUACAGUGAUGCAUCCUUGAAUGGGCUCGGUUGUGUACUCAUGCAGGAAGGAAAGGUAAUUGCUUAUGCCUCUAGACAAUUGAAGCCACAUGAGAAAAAUUAUCCGACACAUGAUUUAGAGCUAGCUGCUAUUGUAUUUGCAUUGAAGAUUUGGAGACAUUAUUUGUAUGGUGAAAGGUGCCGGAUAUUUACUGAUCAUAAAAGCUUGAAAUACUUGAUGACUCAAAAAGACUUGAAUUUGAGGCAAAGAAGAUGGUUGGAAUUGCUUAAAGAUUAUGAGUUAGUGAUUGAUUAUCACCCAAGUAAGGCAAAUGUAGUUGCUGACGCUUUAAGUAGGAAACUUUUAUUUACAUUGCGAAAUUUGAAUACCAAUUUAGCCAUGUCAGAUGAUGGUUCUAUUUUAGCUGAAUUUAGAGCUAAACCGGUAUUUCUUGAAGAGAUUUGUGAAGCUCAGAAAGAUGAUAAUGAGUUACAAGCUAAAAGAGUUCAAUGUGAGUCAGGCAUAGAAUCAGAUUUCUGGAUUGGUUCUGAUGGUUGUUUGAUGUUUAGAGACAGAAUUUGUGUACCAAAGAAUGAUGAGCUUAUUCGAAAGAUUUUACAGGAAGCACAUAGCAGUUCUUUAUCUAUUCAUCCAGGCAGUACAAAAAUGUAUAAUGAUUUGAAGAAAUUGUAUUGGUGGGUAGGAAUGAAAAGAGAUAUUUCAGAGUUUGUUUCUAGAUGCUUGAUUUGUCAACAGGUAAAGGCCGAACAUCAGGUACCCUCAGGAUUAUUGCAACCUGUGCUAGUUCCGGAAUGGAAAUGGGACAGAGUUACUAUGGAUUUUGUGACAGGAUUGCCGUUAACACUGAAAAAGAAAGAUGCAGUAUGGGUUGUGAUUGAUAAGCUAACUAAGUCGGCUCAUUUUAUCCCAAUCCGUAUGGAUUAUUCACUUGACAAGUUGGUCGAGUUAUACAUUUCAGAGAUAGUUAGACUACAUGGAGUGCCAUUAUCGAUCAUUUCAGACAGAGAUCCAAGAUUUACUUCACGGUUCUGGAAGAAGUUACAAGAGGCUUUAGGUACGAAGUUGAGUUUUAGUACGACUUUUCACCCUCAGACUGAUGGUCAGUCAGAGAGAGUUAUUCAGGUACUUGAAGAUAUGCUUAGAUGUUGUGUAUUAGAAUUUCAAGGUAGUUGAGAAAAAUACUUACCAUUGGUAGAGUUUGCCUACAAUAAUAGUUAUCAGUCAAGUUUGAAGAUGGCACCUUAUAAAGCUUUGUAUGGACGUAAAUGCCGCACACCUUUAUAUUGGAUAGAGCUUAAAGAAAGCCAGAUUUACGGGGUUGAUCUAGUUAAAGAAACAGAAGAAAAAGUGAAAGUUAUCAGAAAUUGUUUAAAAGCAGCUUCAGACAGGCAGAAGUCGUAUGCAGAUUUAAAAAGAAAAGAGAUCGAAUAUCAAGUUGGUGACAAAGUUUUUUUGAAAGUAUCCCCGUGGAAGAAAGUUCUCAGAUUUGGCAAGAAAGGCAAACUAAGUCCACGUUUUAUUGGACGUUUGUAGUGAUUGAGAGAGUCGGACCAUUAGCAUAUCGGUUAGCUUUGCCGAUUGAGUUAGAGAAGAUUCAUAAUGUAUUUCAUGUGUCUAUGCUACGUCGUUAUCGUUCAGAUCUGUCACAUGUGAUUUCUCAGACAGAGGUUGAGAUUCAGCCAGACAUGACUUACGGUGAAGAACCGGUAAAGAUUCUAGCUCGAGAGGUAAAGCAAUUAAGGAACAAAAGUAUUGUACUUGUGAAAGUACUAUGGAAUAGACAUGGGGUAGACGAGGCUACAUGGGAACCCGAAAAGGCUCUGCGAAAACAGUACCCAUAUCUCUUCACAGGUAUGAUUUUCGGGACGAAAAUCCCUAAAGGGGGGAGAAAUGUAACAUUCCGAAAUAGGGCCUAAACGGAACAGUGGUUGCGAAACCACAAAUUUGAGGUAGAAAAAAAAUUAUAUUAUUAUUUUUUUGAGGUUCAUGGUAUGAUUACAUGAUUGUGCGAAAAUUUCGUGAUAAAAUUCUAUGCAUAAAGUGCUUAAGUUGAGGUUAGGGACUAAAUCGAAUAAUUUGUAAAACUUGCAUUCUAGAAGUUUUAGUAUGAAAUUAUUUUGGAAUAUUAAUUAGGAGAUCUUAAAUGGUAAUUUGACCAAUUUUAAGUUCAUGGACAAAAUUAGGACAUGGAAGGAAUUUUUGAAAGUUUAGUAAGGAGGGGUAUUUUGGUCAUUUGGUUAUUAACAUUAAUAAAAAGGUAAAAAGAUGAUAAAAUUGUAUCAUCUUCUUCAAGUUACCAGCCGAACCUUACCUCUCUCCAUAGCUGGGGUUUCUUCAACUUUCAAGCUUUAUAGUAAGUGAUUCCAAGCCCCGUUUUUAAUGAUCUUUGCGUUUUUUAAGUCCCGGUAGCUCGAUAAAGCUUAUGCUAGCAAUAAUUUAGUUAGGAAUCAAAUUUGGAAAAAUACCCAUAGGUGAAAUUUGUGUUUUUUGAUGUUUUAUGAUGGAAUAUGAGGCUUUAAAUUAUGUUAGACAACUUGUGCUACUUGGUUUUAAGUGAAAACGAGUAAAAAGGCUUAAUCGGUAAAAAUACCUAAUAGUCAUAAGUACAUGUUAGUGUGUGAAUUUGAUGUUGUCAUAGAAAGGAAAAAUGAUCAGUAUGUUAUAAAACAUAAGAAAAUAGGAUGAAGUUUAAUUUACGAGCCUUGGGGCAAAAGUGCAAAUAUGUGAAAGUUUAGGGGCAAAAAUGUGAUUUUGCCAAAGAUUGAGUAAAGGGUUGUUUUGAUAAAUGUUGAUAUUAAAUAAGCUAAAUUUGCUAUUAUAGAUCAAGAAGAGUGAAAUUCAGGAGUAGAUCGGGGAAAAGAAAAAGUAAAGGACUAAAUUGUAAACUUUAGUCACAUUUUGUAUCGAGGUAAGUUUACCGUAAAUAAAUGCAAUAUUCUUUUAUUUUACAUUAUUAUUGUCAAUUUCCAGCAUUUAUAUAUUUAUGUUAUGAAAAUAUUUAAAGUCGAAUUUAAGGUGAAGUGAUAGAGGAAAAGUGUUAGAAAGCCCCGGUUGAACCCUAGGAAUGUUAGGAUAUUAGGGUUGACAGGACAGAACAGAAAUGAGCCAUGUAAGUCCAUAUUAGAAAUAUGGCUUUGGAGACAGGAUUGAGCCAUGUAAGUCCAUAUUAUAUAUGGCAUUGGAGACAGGAAUAAUUCAUGUAAGUCCAUGUCAAAGACAUGGCAUUAGCAGGGUAUUGAUAGACAGGAAUGACCCUAGUAUCCUUAGUAGUCCGAGUGGUUCAACGGGUCAGAAUACGAGUUAAAUUACAGUGAAUUAACAGUAAAGGAAAAGUAGAUUAUAUUUAUGAAAAAGGAAAGGUCAGGUAAGAAAGAAGGUAAGGGAAUAAAGAAGAAGAUAGAAAUUGAGAAGUAAAGAAAUUUAUGAUGUUAGAUGAUAUUAUGCAUAAUUAUCCAUUAUGUUGAAUGUUGUGAUUUAUUUGCUUGUAAGCUUACUAAGCCUAGUGCUUAAUCUCUUUAUUUUCUUCUUCUUAUAGUACUUAUCUAGCCACUCGGGGAUCGAAGGAAACGUCGGAGGCCGAUCACACUAUCAAAGAAAUAACUCGGUAUAAUUAGACGUUUUGUUUUGUGUAUGGCAUGUAUAGAAACUUAGCUACUUUUGGUAUAAUAUGAACAAUGAAUGAUGUGUAAAUACUUGCUAGUGAUUAGCUAAUAAAAAUGGCCGAUGAUAUGCAUGUUUAUUAAUAUGUAUGAUUGAAUGGUGAUUAUCACAUGAAAAUUAUGAAAAAUGUGAAAGUAACCUAAAAACAGCUUAAAGUAACAGAAAUGACGUAACUUUGAAAAAUCACUAAAAAUUGUAGAAACAUAGUUUGAAGAUGAAUAAUAUAUUAAAUUAAAGCUUAUUAUGUCUAUUUUCUUAUGGAAUAAGAAAAACAGGUAAAUGUAUUAUAUUAUAUGAUAUAUCUGAGUUUUAGUGAAACAGGGUUAGAGCGAUUUCUGGAUCCCCUGUUUCAACUUUGGAAAUUCACCAUAAAUUGUAAAAAACUAAUUAGAAGGUUUACUUUAUAUGGUUAUAAUCCUUUUUGAGUCUAGUUUUAAGAGAACAAACGGCUUAGCGAUAUGAAUUUUGUACAGAAAGAAACAUGGUUUGUAGCAAGAAGAGGUUAGUGCAGUCGAGUUUUUAAACAAGGGAAACUUUAACUAAUAAACUGUACUAAUUGGCCAAGUCAAAAAUCUAUGAAAAAAUUAGUGGAUAGAUAUAUGAGUCUAGUUUCAGGAGAAAUUUACGGAUCUUAAUUUUGAGUUUUGGAACUCAAGAUAUGAAUUUUUAGGCGACUACGACGCAGAAUGGCAGCACAUUCCGAAAAGCUUAAAUAAACAAUUUAAAACUAUUUAAGUGAUAGAUUAAGUUUAGUAAUGCCUCGUGCUCGAUUCUGGCAACAGUCUCGGGUAAGGAGUGUUACAUGGUGCCAGUCAGGAAGAGGAAGUUCAUAGUAGAAUACAGACUUCUGAGCAAGGAACAAGUGGUAAUGUCCCGAUUUCUUUGAUGACAGAGGAAGAACUUAAAAAUAUGAUUUACGGAUUAAUGAAUCAGUGGUAUCAUGAAACAAUACAAGGAAGAAGUCAGGCAUAACAACCUCCUCCUCCCCCUACUGUACCACCAGUUACAACCCCGGUUGCUCGUCCUUUAACAGAUGAAUCUAGCAAAAGAACACCAAUUGAAAAACUCAGAAAGUUUGGAGCUGAAGAAUUUCGAGGGAGAUCGGACGAUGAUCCGGUUAAAGCAGAGUAUUGGUUAAAGAGUUUAGAGAGAGUUUUUAAACAGAUGAUGUGUUUUCCAGAGGACUAUUUGAGAUGUGUAGUUUCGCUAUUGAAAGAAGAAGCGUAUAAUUAGUGGGAAACCAUUGAGGCAGUGGUACCUGCAGAUAAACUUACCUGGGAAUUCUUCCAAAACAAAUUUAAGAAUAAGUAUGUGGGAAAGAGAUAUUUAGAUAAGAAGAAGAGAUAAUUUCUUGAUCUUCGAUAAGGGAAUAAAAUAGUGGCCGAAUAUGAAAGAGAAUUUGUGUAUCUCAGUAGAUAUGCUCGGGAUGUUGUACCGAUAGAAGAAGAAAUGUGCAUUAGAUUUGAAGAAGGGCUUAAUGAUGAAAUCAGAAUGAUGAUUGGAGGUACAGAGAUUCGAGAAUUUGUGGUUCUGUCUGAUCGAGCUCAAAAGAUGGAAGAAGUGUAUAACAAAAAGAUGCAAAGAGAAAGAAGAGGUAAAGAGGUAUACAAAAUAAAUUUCUCUAGACCAACUUCGACUUUUUCGGCCAAAAGUUCAGAGAUGAUUCUAGUCGACCUGUUACAAUUCCGGAACGAUCGAAUAAAAGUAAAACGACUCAACAAGAUGUCGGAGUAACUAAGAAACCAGCAGCUAGUGUUAGUAGUGUGCAAAAUAUUCCGAGACUUAGAUGUAAAAAUUGUGGUAGAUUUCAUAUUGGUGAGUGUUGGGGAAGAGCCGGAGGUUGCUAUAAAUGUGGUGGAACUGAUCAUUUUAUUCGAGAUUGUCCUCAAUUAUUAAAAGAAGACAAAGAACAAGGGGAGAAGUAAGCAAGUACUCCUCAGAAAGGUAAACGUUCAGGUCAAAGUAGUGCUGCUGGGACUGUUCAUUCGGGAACGAGAGAUACUACAGCUCGAUCAGAUACAAGAGCACCUGCACAUACAUAUGCUAUCCGGACAAGAGAAGAAGCUUGAUGAUUUUGUGUAUGCUUUAAUUGAUCCUGGUUCUACACAUUCAUAUAUUUGCACUGCAUUAGUGUCAGAAAAGAAAAUGACUGUUGAGUCCACUGACCUUGAAUUGUAAGUCACUAAUCCACUAGGGCAAAGUGUGUGGGUUAAUUUAAUAUGUCGGAAUUGUCCACUGAAAAUACAAGGCUGUAAAUUCUCUGCUGAUUUAACGUUGUUACCUUUCCGAGAAUUUGAUGUUAUUCUUGGAAUGGAUUGGUCGAUUAAACACGAUGUCAUAGUGAAUUGUAGAGAAAGACGGAUUAAUUUAAAAUGUCAGGCAGGGGAAAUAGUUUCAGCUGAGUUUGGGGAUAAUAAGAAUGAUGUCAGAAUUAUUUCACCCUUUACAGCUCGGAAAUUGAUUCGAAAAGGUAAUAAAGCAUUUUUAGCUUAUAUUCUUGAUACUCGAGGUUCUGAAUUGAAGAUGGAACAAUUGUCAGUUGUUAAUGAGUUUACUGAUGUGUUUCUUGAGGAAUUACCUGGUUUACCCCCAGAUCGUGAGGUUGAAUUCACAGUUGAUGUAAUUUUGGGUACAGCUCCGAUAUCAAUAACACCGUAUAGAAUGGCACCAGCUAAGUUAAAAGAGUUGAAGACACAGUUGCAAGAGUUAUUAGAUAAAGGGUUCAUCAGACCGAGUAUAUCACCUUGGGGUGCACCUGUCUUAUUUAUGAAAAAGAAAUAUGGUUCGUUGCGAUUGUGUAUUGAUUACAGGCAGUUGAACAAGGUAACAAUUAAAAAUAAAUAUCCAUUACCUCGUAUCGAUGAUUUGUUUGAUCAACUGAAAGGUGUUGCAGUGUUCUCAAAAAUAGACCUUAGAUCUGGGUAUUAUCAGAUGAAGGUUAAAGAGUGUGAUGUGCCAAAAACUACUUUUCGAACUCGGUAUGGUCACUACGAAUUUUUCGUAAUGCCUUUUGGUUUAACGAAUGCCCCUGCUGCAUUUAUGGAUUUAAUGAAUCGAAUUUUUCAAUCUUAUUUGGAUAGAUUUGUGGUGGUAUUUAUUGAUGACAUAUUGGUCUAUUCAAAGACAGAAUCUGAACAUGCACAGCACUUGAGAAUUGUACUACAGACUUUGAGAGAAAAACAGUUAUAUGCGAAAUUUAGUAAAUGUGAGUUUUGGCUUCAUGAGGUUGGAUUUCUGGGUCAUAUUAUAUCAGCUGAAAGAAUUCGUAUGGAUCCAAGUAAAGUUUCGGCAGUGGUGAAUUGGAAAACACCGAAGAAUGUAACUGAAGUACGAAGUUUUCUAGGAUUAGCAGGAUACUAUCGCUGUUUUGUAAAGAAUUUUUCCAUGAUUGCUUCACCAAUGACUCGUUUAUUACAGAAGAAUGCUGAGUUUAUGUGGUCUGAUGAAUGUCAGCAGAGCUUUGAUCAGUUAAAGAAAAUGUUAACAGAAGCUCCAGUCUUGACUCAACCAGAAUCAGGUAUACCGUAUGUUGUGUACAGUGAUGCAUCUUUAAGUGGUUUCGGUUGUGUGUUAAUGCAGUCGAGAAAGGUGGUGGCUUAUGCUUCACGGCAAUUAAAACCACAUGAAAAGAAUUACCCUACACAUGAUCUUGAGUUAGCUGCAAUUGUUUUUGCUUUAAAAAUUUGGAGACACUAUUUAUAUGGUGAAAAGUGUUAUAUGUAUACGGAUCACAAAAGUUUGAAAUACUUAAUGACUAAGAAGGAACUGAACUUAAGACAGAGACGGUGGUUAGAGUUGCUGAAACACUAUGAUUUGGUUAUUGACUAUCAUCCAGGGAAAGCUAACGUAGUUGCUGAUGCACUGAGUCGAAAGUCAUCCUUGUUUGCACUUCGGGCAAUGAAUGCUCAUUUGGCUCUUAGUGAAGAAGGUGUUGUACUAGUAGAAUUGAAGGUAAAACCAAUGUUUCUUCAACAAAUUCAGAAGCUGCAGAAUGAAGAUCCAAAAUUGGUGCUGAAACGGCAAAUGGUUCGGGAUAAUUUAGAUUCAGAGUUCAGUAUUGAUGAUGAAGGUAUAUUGCGCUAUCAUAGUAUGAUUUGUGUUCCAAAUAAUUCUGAUUUAAAUAAUGAUAUUCUUUCUGAAGCACAUAAUAGUAUGUAUUCUAUUCAUCCGGGUAGUACAAAGAUGUAUGGUGAUCUGAAAAAGACAUAUUGGUAGCCUGGUAUGAAAAGAGAAAUUUCAGAAUUUAUUGCAAAAUGUUUGAUUUGCCAGCAAGUUAAAGCAGAGCAUCAAGUGCCAACGACUUUAUUACAACCCAUUAUGAUUCCUGAAUGGAAGUGGGAGCAUAUUUCAAUGGAUUUUGUGUCAAGAUUGCCUGUGACUCCAAGAAAGAAAGAUUUGAUAUGGGUGAUUGUUGAUAGAUUGACAAAGUCAGCACACUUUAUUCCAGUCAGAACAGAUUUUUCACUUAAGAAGUUAGCAGAAUUGUAUGUGUUAGAGAUUGUGAGACUACAUGGAGUUCAAGUAUCUAUAAUUUCAGACCAGGAUCCAAGGUUUACUUCAAGAUUUUGGAAUAAGUUGCAAGAAACUUUAGGCAGCAGAUUGAAUUUUAGUACAGCAUUUCAUCCUCAAACAGAUGGACAGUCAGAGCGAGUGAUUCAAAUUUUAGAAGAUAUGUUAAGAUGUAGUAUACUCGAGUUUGGUGACAGUUGGGAAAGGUAUUUACCGUUAGCUGAGUUUGUUUACAACAAUAACUAUCAAUCUAGUAUAAAAAUGGCACCAUUUGAGGCUUUUUAUGGUAGAAAAUGCAAGACUCCAUUGUGUUGGUCUGAAUUGAGUGAAUCAAAAAUAGUUGGGGUUGAUUUGAUUCGAGAAAUCGAAGAGAGAGUCCGGAUUAUUCGAGAUAGUCUAAAAGUUGCUUCAGACCGUCAGAAGUCAUAUACAGAUUUAAAACGAAGAGACAUAGAAUAUGUUGUGGGUGAUCGAGUAUUUUUAAAAGUUUCACCGUGGAAAAAGGUGUUACGGUUUGGUAAAAAGGGAAAAUUAAGUCCGAGAUUCAUAGUGCCAUAUGAAAUUGUGGAAAGGAUUGGUCCUGUGGCUUAUCGUUUGGCUUUACCUCCGGAACUUGAGAAGAUUCACAAUGUGUUUCAUGUGUCUAUGCUAAGGCGGUAUAGGUCAGAUCCUUCACACGUAAUUCCCCAUACUGAAAUUGAGCUUCAACCAGAUAUGACUUAUUCAGAAGAACCAGUGAAGAUUUUGGCUCGUGAAGUUAAAGAAUUGCGGAACAAAAGAGUCCAUUGGUUAAAGUAUUAUGGCAUCGACAUGGUAUGGAGGAGGCAACCUGGGAAACAGAGGAGUUAAUGAGAUCACAGUAUCCAAGUCUAUUUUCAGGUAACAAAUUUUGAGGACGAAAUUUUUAAAGGGGGAGAGUUGUAACGACCUAAUUUUCAGUGGUGUCGGAAAUGGUGAUUUGAGAUCACUAAAUCUGACAAAUAAGAUUGAACAAGAUAGUAAUUUAAUAUUUAUGAGUCAAGUAAGGAUUUAGAAGAAUUUUUGAAAUGGUGAAAUUAGUGAAUUAAAAGAAUUUAUUAGGUCAAACGGGUCAAAAACGAGGUAUCGAGACCUCAAAAUUGAAAAUCGAGCUAUAAAUAUUUUUAUAAAUAUUUAUGGAGUGUCAUUGAGUUAGUAUUAAAGUUUUGUUAGAAAAUUUUAACGUUUGGAUGGCUAAUUAAUUAAAAAGGACUAAAUUGAAAAUAGCGCAAAAUUUGUUAAAUUGUGAGUAAAUAGCUUAAGUAUUUAAAAAUAUGGAUUUAAAUUGCAAUUAGACCCAAAGGUUAAUGGCUGGAUGGUUUGGGUAUGAAAUAAGCAAGAAAACAAUGUGAACAAGGGGCAAAAUUGGAAAUAGUAUAAAAGUUAAUAGUUAAAUAAUGAUGUAAUUGAAAAAUCUAGACAUUUCUUCAUAUUUUCUCAGCAAAAAUGCCAUAGAAGGCCUGGAGAAAGCUGGUUUUUCAUAAUUUUACAUCAUGUGAGUUUAAUUCUUAUUUUUUCUUGAUAAUUUUUAUGUUUUUAUGACUUUUACAAUUAGGUCCACUUAUAGAAUUCAUUAGUUUUUGAUUUUAUGGGUGAAAUUGGAAGUUACCCUGGAUGGAUAAGGGAAGUUUAUGAUGAAUUAUUAUGAAAUUUAAGUUUUAAUUUCAUAUUAAGGUGGUUGUAUUAAGUGAUUUUGAUAGGAAAUGAUAUUUAGGACCUAAUUGUGAAAAAGUUAUGAAUUGAAGGUUUCUGUUGAAAUUCAGAAUAUAAAACGUUUUGAAAUAGUUUAUAAUGAUAAAAUAAAGUGUUAAUUGAGAAAAUUUAGUUCAAUUGAUGGGUGAAUUGAGCAGGAACUAAAUUGUGAAAACUGUAAAUUUUGGGGUAAAAGUGCAAUUUCGAAAUUUGAACAGCAUAAAUUGUGAAGUGAAAUAGAAAUCAAAUAAAUGCUAAUGAGUAGAAAUAUUUUAUAUUAUAGAUCAAAAAUCCAAAGAAGAACGAGGAAAAGAAAAAGUUGCGGAAUAGUCCCUAAAUUUCAAUAUCUUCUACAAAUUAGCCGGGUAAGUUCAUAUGGUUGAAUUUAAUGUUUAUUUGUGAAUGAUUGAAGUAUAUAAUGUGUUAUUAUAUACGAAUUUGUUGUGGGACUGUGUAGAUUUUGUUAAUGAAAGAAUAAAUGUGGAAAUGCAAAUUAGGAAAAACGUAGGAUUGAGUACGUUCGUAUCGUGACGUGUGAUGAAUUGACGGAUAAGACUAUGGUUGUUCCAUGGCAAAGUGUGAAAUGUAGGUAUGGUAUGAUCCAUACUGAGUUGUGAAAUGUAGGUAUGGUAUUAUCCAUACUGAGCUGUGAAAUGUAAGUAUGGUAUUAUCAAAUCCAUACUGAAUUAAGAAAUGUAGGUAUGGCAUUUCCCAUACCGAGUUGAAAAAUGUAGGUAUGGUAUUUCAAUGAGGAAAACCAUACUGAGUUGUGAAUCGUGGCAUUGAGCAAUGACAUACUCAAUUUCGUAAGCCGUUUCCUAAUUUGAUUAUAAGAAAUAAAAGAGAAGUGAUCCAAAUGAAAGAGAUUGAGUAGUUGUUACUGUUGAGCUCAACUAUGUGAAUUAUUAUAACAAUGGUUGUGAAUCGCAGGAAACUUUAGUAAAUGUUUUGGUAUUGUUUGGAAAUAUUAUGUUUGGUAAGCAUUACUUUUAAACCUAUGAACUUACUAAGCUUCAAUAAGCUUACUUGUGCGUGUUUAAUAUUUUUAUGUAGAUUGACUUGAAGUGAAGUGGGUAGAUUGGAUCAACACAACGAAGCACACUAUCCAGAUCAAUUCCGGUAGCUUUUGUUUUAUGUUUGAAGAUUUAUAUGGCAUGUAUAGAGUUUAAAUGAAAUGAAGUAAAGAUGUUAACAUUUUGUACUAAAACAAUUUUUGGUUAGUAGUAGUAGUUUGACUUUGAAAAUUCACCAUAAAUUAUGAAAAUCUCAUUAGAGGUUGAAUAAAAUAUGAAAUUAAAUCUUAUUUAAUAUAGUUUCACAUAGAAGAAACGGUGUAAGAAAAAGGCUUUCAUAUCAGGAGAUAUUUGAAUUUUUGUGAGACAAUGUCAGAGUGAUUUUUAACUCCCCUGUUCUGAUUUGUAAAAAUCAUUAAAAAUUGUAAAAAAAUAUUUAGGAGUCAUACUAUAUAGAUAUGGAUUCCUUAUUGAGUCUAUUUUUAAGAGAAAUAAUCGUCUUGGUUAUUUGAAUUCUAUACAUGGAGAAAUUUGGUUCGUAGUGCACAGGGGUCAGAGUAGUCGAUCCCUGAAACAGGGGAGACUUCAACUAAUAAACUGUACUAAUUGGCCCAACCAAAAAUUCUAGAAAAAAAAUUAGUAAGUAGAUAUAUGAGCCUAGAUUCGGAUAAAAUUUAUGGAUUUGUAUUUCGAGUUUUUUAACUCAAUAUAUGAUUUUUUCUGCGUCUGUAAUGCAGUUGGACAGCUUGUCUUGAAAGUGUGAUAUAAAUUGUUUGAAUUUGUUUAAGUGCUCAAAUAAGUUUAGUAAUGCCUCGUGCUCGACUCCGACGAUGGUCUCGGGUAAAGGGGGUGUUACAUCAACUUCUAGUAGUUGGCAAUCUAUAUCUAAUUGGGGACGUUAUGAAACACCCAGAAGAAGGGAUGAUGUACUCCUUACGACGUUCACAGGUGAGGGGACCUCGUACGUUGCAGAUGAUAGUGGGUUAGAUAAUGAGUCUGAUGUGGAUCCACCUCGAAAGCCCAGCUCCGAUGGUGCAGAAACUGUAUUAUUUUUUGAAUCGGAGCCUAUUUGAACCGAACCUGAACAUGUUGAACGGGGUUCAGAUGAAGAAGAAGAUCCACGAUUCAGGGCAUACUCGCCUCCAGCCCGCAUGCAUAAUUAUGAUCUAUCUGCAGAUGAUGUGUUGGAGUUUCUAGAUCUACAACACAGAAAGCCUGAUCAUACAAGUUCGUUAUUUGAUUCAGGUGAAUUGAAAGUUGGUAAUGAGUUUUCUAAUAAGGAUAGUUUUCUUGGUGCAUUGAAACAACAUAGCAUUAUGAACGAGGUUAACUACCAUGUUUUUAAUUUAAAUCCGAUAAGUUUGAUGCGAAGUGUCUUGUGUAAGACAGUACAUGUUCAUUGAAAAUCUAUGCCUCAUUUAGGAAAAAGAUAGAGUUGUGAGAGAUAAUGUAACGUCCCCUAACCCUAUACCGUCACCGGAACAGGGUUACGAGACAUUACCAGUUAGUACAGUCCAAUUUCGAUCAUUAAUUAAAAUAAAUAUUCACACACAUCCUAGUUUUAAGAUGUGGUCCCUUUAAUGGGCCCUUGCGAUCCAAUAUGAACAGUAAAUUCAAUUCGGAACUAAUUUAGAAUCACUACGAAUUUUUAGUAAAUUUCAAAAUUCAUACUAUAUACCGUUACCAACCAUAAUUCACUUAUUUCAUCAAUACUUUUACAACCUAAAUGACUCUCAUUAAACAUCCUGGGUACAUGCCAUUAUCAAUACUCAACAUACUUUACCUUAAUGAAUUCGGGAUCGUCCUGGGAUACUGAUUCAACGUACUAUCUUUACUUAACCUGCGCACGGAAACAAACCGUACGCUGAGUAUGGUAUACUCAGUGACAUUUCUAUAAUCCGAACAUUUAAUAAUAUAACAAAUACUUAAGAUCAUAAUAACAAUUACAAUUAUGCAAUUAUUUAUUCAUAGAUAAAUUUCAACUACUUACCAUAUAAAUUUUAUACAAAUCAUAUAAUAAACACAAUAACAUAAUUGUUCAAUUCUUAACUAAGUCCAUUAUUAUUUACUCUAUUCUUUCACUUACUACUCGGUAUAGCUUUCCUUAAUUUACUCACAAUUCAAUAUCAUUAAACUAUAUUCAACUAUACACUUAUCAAUCAUAUUCCAUUUUAAUUCAUUUCAAUAACUGUCAAUUUCAUUUAUAUCAUAUCAACUUACUAUCCCUGGUAGCUUUCAGUAUAUACAUACGAUUCCUAUAUCUCAAAUCACAUUUCAAUUCAUCAAGUGGCAUCAUAUAUCAUCAAUUCGAACUCCAAUCAUUUCAUGAACCUUUGGUUCAUAUUUUCAAUUUCAUAUCUAAAUUUUCAAUUCUCAAUUCAAUUUCUCGUUUCAUUUCAAUAGCUUGAUCAAUCAAAUUUAUUCGAUUUAUCUUUCACUUAUUUACCCCUAUUAACAAAUUCGGACUUUGACGGAUUCACGGAUUCCAACCCAAACACACCAGUACGACACAUUGUGCCUAAAACGGUACAUAGUACCUGAUCACUAUACGACACAUAAAGUGCCUAAAACGACACACGAGGUGCCUGAUACGACACACGAGGUGCUUGAAAUACGAUCACACACGAGGUGCCUGAUCGAUAAAGCUGGCAAAUCCCGUACACUUCCAUAUCCUAUGGCAUGCCAACUAUAUCCGACUCAGCCCGACUAGUUAAUAGGGUAUUUCAUUCACUUUCUCAAUUUAAUAAUUCUUUCAUCAAUAUCUCAUCCGAUAAUUACACAUAUUUACCCAUUUUCACAAUUCAUACAAUUUCAUUCAAUUCAACAAAUAUAUUUCAAUUAUGCACAUUAAUUCAUAAUUCAAUACAAUUCAAUUCACUUUUCAAUACCAAAUAUUCAAAUAUCACAAUCUCAUAUAUUCAUAUCAAUUUCCUCAUAUUUCCAAUCAAAAUAUUUUUUAAUAUAACAUUCAUUCAAUAUUCAAAUUUCUACACAAGUCAUAUAUAUAUAUAUUAUAUAAUUCAAUCAAUAUAAUUUCAAUCAAAAUAAUUUCAAUCAAUAUAAAUUCAAUAAAUUCAUCGCAUACUAAAAUCAAUCUAUUUCAAUUGUAAAACAUCAUAAUUCAAUCACUAACAUUUUCCAUAUGUAUAUAAAUAUAAUAAAUAAUGACUAAGUUCGGAUUAUAGAAAUACAAACAGUCAUUUUCGAGCUAACUCCCGUUGACUUUGUCUUGUCCUUUCUUAGCCGAGAUUUCCGGUACCACAUUGACUAUGAAAUUAAUACAAUUCAUAAUCAUUAAUACAUUACUAAUUCAUAUCUUGAGUUACAGAAUUCUAAAUUAAGAUCCGCUAAUUUUUCCUGAAACUAGACUCACAAAUCUUCUCACAAUAAAAUUUCCAGAAUUUUUGGUUUAGCCAUUAAGUACAGUUUAUUCUUUAAAUUCACCCCUAUUCUACUGUCUGACAGUUUCGUCCCUUCUUCACUAAAAAUUAAUUAUCUCACAGUGCAGAAUUCGGAUAAUAUUCCCGUUGAUUUCUCCUGAAAAUAGACUAAUUAGGAAUUCUAAAAAUAUAACUUUAAACCUCUAAUUAUUUUUCUUCAAUUUUUGGUGAUUUUCCAAAAUCAGAACAGGGAAACCCAAAUUCAUUCUGACCUUGUCUUACAAAAUUCAUUAUAUCUCAUAAUUUACAAUUCAAUUUCUUAUACCGUUUCUUCUAUAAGAAACUAGACUCAAUAAGCUUUAAUUCCAUAUUUUAUUCAUCCUCUAAUUCAAUUUCUACAAUUUUUAGCGAUUUUUCAAACUUAGACUACUGCUGCUGUCCAAAAUAGUCUUAGUACAAAAUGUUGAUUUACUUUAAUUUCAAUUUAAUCCUAACUAAAUUCACUUACUUUUCUAUCUUAAUUCAUACUUUAUUUCUACUCAAUUUUUAACCAAACUUAGACAUAAUUAUCUAUUUUUCAUCAUAAAACCAUAAUUUCGAAAUUCUUUCAAUUUAGUCCUUAAAGCAUAAAACUUAUGAAUCACUUUACAAUUCAAUCCUUAUAUCAUUUCUAACUUGAAUUUCUAUCAAUCUAGCCCUUAAUUCAUCAUUUUACUUAACAUGGACAAUAUCUAGUAAUCUAAUAACUUUCAAAAUAUCAACUUAAUUUCAUCAAAACUUUGUUCUAAAACUUCUAAAACAUCAAAAUUAAGUAAAAAGGAUUUGAUUGACUUACCUAUUAAAGCUUAAAGCUUCAAACCUUAAAUUUUCUCUUUUCUCCCUUUCUUUCUUUCUUUUUCUCCCCUACUCUCUGUUUUGUUUCAUUCUGUUUCUAUUUCCUUUCUUUUGUUUCUUUAGUUUAUAUAAUAUAAUAUAAUAUAAUUAAAACAUAAAAUAUCUUUAUUAUAUAAUAAUAUAAUAAUAUACUAAACAUAAAAAAAAUCUUAAAUUUUCUUCACGGUAAACCGCCUCAAUUUAUACUUUUCGUAUAAUUUCCUUUUUAGUCAUUUUUAUUUUCUUUUAAUCUAUAAUUUAACUUUUACCCCUUAUUCAAUUUAGUCCUUUUUCUUAAUUACUCUUAAUUAAAUUAAAUUCACUUAAUUAAACUCUAAUUAACCACUCAUUUUACUUCAUAAAUAUUUUUAAUAAAUAUUUACGAAUCCGUUUUUCAGAAACAGAGACCCGAAAAUACACUUUUUCGGUAAUGGUAAAAUUCGGGUCGUUACAGAUAAAAAAGUACAUAGGUCCACAUGCAUGUGUUGGAGGUACAAUAUUUAGGGUGUUUGAAUAAUACUGUUAUUAUGUAAUAUUGCAUUAUUUAAUGUACUUCAUUGACAGGUGUUUCACAAGAUCAUCCUAAGACGGAUUCAUAUAUGUUAGCUAGCUUAAUACUACUGACGGUGAAGGCAGUUCUCAGGACUUCAGUGCCGGGCUUAAUUGCCAAUAUUGGUAGCCAAAUGAGGUAUACGCCCUUUUACUGCAAUGGUUGGAUUGUUAAGCAGAAGGCAUUAGAAAAGAUGCAUAGUGGGUUGGACGCUUCAUAUAAGGAAAUGUGGCAGUGGUUUCAAGUGUUAAAGAGAUACGUCGCAGGUUGCAUAACAGACCUUGAAACGACACCUCCAUACUACAACGACCAAUUACUCUAUGGAUGCAAAAUAUUAAACUAUCUAUUCUAGAGCUUUAAGCAAUGCCGAGAUACAUUUCUAUACUUCAAGCCAUUGGCUACCUUUAUGUUUGGUAGAUAUACAUAUCGGCUAUUGCUAGCUGUGACACGGGAUGAUAGUAAGAGAAUCCUUCCAAUUGCAUUUACAAUAACACCAGGGGAGUCAGCUGAUGAUUGGAUUUCUUUCUUUCUAGGUUAAGGAGGCAUGUCUGCCCUCAACCUGCUAUCUGUGUUAUAUCAGAUCGGGGCACUGGAAUACUAGUCGCAAUUGAGCGACAGGGAAGUCUAUGACAUCGCACACACCAUCAGUAUUGCUUAAGGCACUUUGCGUCCAACUACUACAAGCAAUUUCGAUCUACAACUGAAAAACUACAAGUGACCAACAUGGGUAUUUAAUCUCUAUUAAUAUAAUUUCGUUUGUAAUAUUGAAUUUAUUCUAAAUGGAAAAGUGGUUUAUAAUUUUUACUAUGAACUUAUAUUGGCAGGGUAUGAAAUAAGUAAGGACAGUUUUCAUUAGAUGUUGGCAGUUUUGCGUUCAGUUAACGUAGAAUACGCGAACUACCUCCGUAAUAUACCUUUCGAACAGUGGAUAGAAGCAUACGACGGCGGUCUACGAUAUGGUCAUAUGACCUAAAAUAUGGCUGAAUGAAUAAAUUAUGUUCUAAAAGAAAUGCGUCAUUUGCCGAUAACAUCAGUUGUGCAAGAGACAUGUUUUCGUUUAGCUGCACUAUUUCCAAAGCGACCAGCGAGUUAUGAAGGCCAAAUGCAGGGAGGCCAUUUAUGGUGCAAUAAGGUAUAGCAAGAAAUUAACAAGGUGAAUGCGCAGGCGAACACAAUGCACACAGUGUGUCACGAUCGAGACAACCUAUGAUUUCAUCGAGAAAACCGCAUUAAGGUAUUACUGGCGAAUUAAUAUCGUGUACACUUGAGAAAUAGGACUUGCAACUGUGGUAGGUUUGACGCACUUCGUUAUCCAUUUGCUCAUGUAAUUGCAGCUUGUCAGAAUAUCUGUCUCGAUCCAAUGAGCUAUGUCGACGAAGUGUAGAAAGUAGAAUACAUAUACAACGUGUGGAGACACAUAUUCCCAUCGGUCCCAGAUUAACAUAAGUGGUCGUCUGUAUUGCUUGCUCCGUUUAAGUUUUUAUCAUAUAAAGAAUUGCAUCGUAAACUAAAAGGUCGACCUUGCUCGACUAGAAUACGUAACAAUAUGGAUAUCUGAAAAACAGCCAACCAGCAGAAGUUGUACGGAUGGUGUAGGAACCCAGGCCAUACAAGUCGAUAAUGUCAAAAUCGAAAUAGCUAAUAGUUGUUAUAAUAAAACUAUGUUGCAUUAUUUAUAUUUUAUUAAAAAUAUAAAAAUAUUCAAAAUAUUGCCUUAUUUAAAAGAAUUUCUAUUUUAUUAAAAAUAUAAAAGUAAAUUACAAUUACUUUAUUCAAAACAACUGUUAUUUUAUUAAAUGAAACAAUAUAAAAAAGUUUGAACAAAUAUAUUGAAAAAAAUCAAUGUUGGUGCCGGCAGGAUUCAGUGCCAUAUGGGGGUUGUCGACGAUUACGCACUAGAUUCCUCAUUCUUCCAACUUCUGAUUGGGGUUGUGGUUGCUCCAGUGGGGAUUCUAGUUCCUCCGGCAGGGGAUCUGGUUGUGGGUGUUGGGAGGAUAACCCACCUUGAUAGAAUAGUGAAUGCUGAGGUGUUUGCAUCACCCACAGUGAAUGUGUUUGAAUCCCAUAAGGCGAUGGAGAUUGUUAAAAAAAAUAGCUCUCCAAUGGCAGCUCUGCAAUCCUUCAUGCGACGAUGGUUUAUAGAUCGGUGGUCCACUCGAAGUAAUUGAAAAUGGAGAUGAACCGAGUCAUGCAUUCCAACCUGCCAUAGGAUUGGAAAAAGGAAACAUAUAAGGGUUAGGAUACAUAAAAGGGCAAGGAUACGCACCUGGCAUAAUCUAAAAAGGCUGUGAUGUGGGUGUUGUCAGUUGAAGUGUUGGGCCCGGUGACUGUAUGGGCGCUAUUGAUGGGCCUGGUGAUUGUAUAGGAACUGUUGAUGGGCCCGAUGAUUGUGUUGGUGCUAUUUAUGAGCUCGCGUCGUUAUCCCUUAUUCUUAGAUUUUAAAGGCCCCGUUAUUCCCUUUCGACACGAAUUUGACGUCGCCUUUCAUCUUCCGACAGUAAAUAUGGCUUGCCAUGGAUCAUAAAUCAUGGCAUGAAUUUCGGCACGCACGCUAACUUUAGAACGAUGAUCGGUUCCCGAGUAAGUAUGUAAUCAUACCGAUUUUCCCACAUUUUAAUAUAUGCUAACCAAUAUCUCAGCCAAUCUGUAUGCAACUACUGUAAGUCAAUUUCGUGUUUAUCAUCAAGCACUUCAGGUGCCACGAGAGUCGGUUGUCAGAAUUCAAAUUGCUGCAAUACUCUAUUUGAUUGGUGCAUCUCUACGAUGGCAUAGCUGACCAAUGGAACCUUCAUAUGCCAACUGUUUAAAUUUUGAAAGUAUUCAUACAGAAUUACUGCUCAAAUUGCCAGAUCCUCGUAUGGUAUGCAUUGAAACUAUAUGAAUAUGAUAAAAAUAUUAGUUAUAUACAUAAUACCAAAUACUAAAUACUACAUACGAAUCGAUUAUUUUAUUAUGUAUAUCUAUUUUAUUUAAUACUUACUUGUGCUUCCGACCGUUGGUCUAAUAGAAGCUAUAUAUCUUCAAGAGAAGUAAGAAAGCCAACAUAACUUGCUGAACAGUUUCACCUAAUUAAAUAAAUUUUUAUCAUACUAUUAUAUUUUAAAUCUACGUAAUAAUUGUAAAAUCUAAUAUAAAAUUUACCUCGUUAUGGGUGGGAAUGUAUGUGGGUGGUCCAUUCGAUGACUUAAAAAUGGAAAGCAAACCGUGCCUAUGAUUGCAGUAGUGAUAGGCAACCUCUAAUUUUGGCUUUAUUCGGUCGCGUCGCCCUACACAUCUCCUGGUACAAUGUUGCCAACACGACAAACCCCUAACUAAAUUUACCAGCUGUCCUAAAAUCAACGAGUUUCAGUAGCAAUCUCAAAUGUAUGAGAUUUCAUGACAAGUCCGACAUCAGAUAACCUCCAAUUAUCUCAAGAAUGUAUGCCCGACUAUAUCAUAUUCUUUCUAGUUCAGUCGAAUCAUUAUCUGACUCCGAAAAUGUGUCUCGUAACCAGCCCAUCUCGAUCCGACCUCUGUUAAUAUUAUUCGGAAUAUCACCCAAAAGCUCAUAGCAUACGGCUCCCCAAUCAGUAGAUUGAGCAGACCUGAUGACUGCGUACCCAUCCAUCGGUAAUCCAAAUUGUAAAUGCACGUCUUCCACAGUGAUAGUACACUCUCCGCAUGAAAGAUAGAAUGUGUGCGUCUUGGGUCUCUACCUCUCUAUCAAUGCAGUGAUGAGUUUUGUGUUCAACUUGCACCCCCAGCCUAUCGCGGCCACGUGCCAAAAACCCACUUCCCGCAGGUUAUUCUAUAUCAACGGUGAUGGAGGACCAGACAUAUUACGGAUAUAGCAUUGCAAUACCCGAUUUACAGACUUUUAUAAAAAAAAUUAUAAAAUAAAAAUUAAUUAAAAUUGCAUAAAUAAAAAAAUCUUAAUUAAUAUUGAAAAAUUAAAUUUAACACUUACCAUUUUCAUUUGUUCGACAGAGAUGUGUUUAUUAUCAAGACGAAUUAAUUCUCCGGCCAUUACUAACACGAUAGAAUAAUUUUUGAUUUAAAAAAUUUAUUCAGAAAAAAUUAAAUAGAGCUUUUUUGCAAAAAUGAAAAGGAGCUUUGAGAGGAAUUUGAGAGAAAUUUGAGAGAAUAUUGAAAGGAUUGGAGUGUGAAAAAAGGAUCACAAAGCGGUUCCUCAUUUUGCUGACAUGUCACCUGACAUAGUGUUGACGUGGACGCAUUUUCGGGGAAUUAUCUUGUAAAUUGCCAAAAAAAUAGCUAUUGGAUUUUGAAUUUCUUUUCAAAACAAAUAUUUUAUUUGCAUCAAACAAAUAAUGGAUAAAGCGAAAAAUAUAUUUAAGAUUACUUGCUUUGCGUGGUAUAAACAACUUACAAAUUUUUUAAAGAUAAUAUCAUGAUAUUAUAUUAUCUUAUCAUCAAUUAAAAUAAUAUUUUAUAUCAUUUUGAUGUCAUUGUUAUUCGAACAUAAUUCGAUAUUGACUCUUCAAAGAAACAUUAGCACUGCUUGAAUGCUUUAUUCUUUUUUCUAUAAUUCUAUCUUAUUAUCAUUUAUUGCUAACAAUAUUCAUUUCUUACUAUAAUUUUUCUUAAAUGCCCUACGUGGUUACAUAUUAGAGGUGUGUAUGGGCCGGGCUACCCGGCCCGGCCCGAAGGUCCGGCCGAAAAAUGAUAGGAUUCAAGUAAAAAUAUAGGCCCGAAAUAUGAAUUUGGGCAAAAAAGAGGCCCGUUUAGAAAAGGGGACGGGAUUGAGUAAAAUUUUUUUGGCCCGGACUCGGCCCGAAUUAUAUACUAUAUAUAUAUUUUUUAUUUUUAAUCAUAUUUACAUUUUAUUUUCAAUUUUAAUAUAACCACUUUUUAUUAUAUUUUCAAUUUGUGUAUUGUUUUAAGAAUUGUUUUAGUCACACUUUUUAUUUGUUUCUUGUUUUAAUAUUUUUAAAUGUAUUUGAUUUAUUAUAUUUUAAAAUUUUUAUUUAAUGAAAUAAUCUAAAAAAAACUUAUAUGGGCCGGGUCGGGCCGGGCUCAAUAUUUUUAUUUCGGGUUGAGUUUGGACAAAUUUUUAAGCCCAUAUUUUGGUUGGGCCGAGAAAACUAACCUAAAAUUUUGUAUGGGCCCGGCCCAUGCACACCUCUAUUGCAUAUACCUAAUUAUUGAGUGUUACUUAUAAAUGGUAAUCAAGAUACUUAUAGUUUUAUUCAGUUAAUAAAUCUAUUUUUACAUAUAUAAUAUUAGCAUAACUUUUUUAAAAGAUAAAAUAAAAAUUAUAAUAGAGUCAAAAUUAAAGUAUAACUAUUUUUAACUAAUAAAUGUAAAUUAAUUUAUAAUUAUAAUUUAACUAUCACAAGUUUUUCUAUAUUUUAUACUUAUAAUUCUAUACAGGUAGUAAUUGUAUUAAGAAGUUAGCAAAAAACUAUUUUGAUAAAAAAAUUUAAAUAAAAAUUAUAAAUUUAAUUAUAAUUAUUUUUAAAUGUGUAAUUAUCACAACUUCUAUUUUAAGUUAACAUUUUUAAUUAAUAAUUCUUAAUUAAAUAUUAUAAAUAUUUUUAGAUAUCAAUUUAAUAAAACGAUGAAAAAUCAAGAAUAUUUUUGUUAGUUGAAAAAAAUAAUUUUAUAUAGAUUAAUAAAGAGUAAUUUAGUUAUGAUUUUUAAAUUUUGUAACAUUUAAUCAUCCUACUUUUUCAUAAAUUUAAUAAGAAAUAAUUUUUUAUUACAUGUUUAUUGUUUUAAUAUUACAAUCAUCAAUAUCAUUAAACAAUGAUGAUAUUUUUCUAAUAAACGGCACGUAACUAAAAGCGUAGGAGACUUGGCAUCCUGUAUUAAAUGGUAUUAAUAUACCCUUUAAAUAUUUUAAGAAUUUAAAUUUAAACUAUUUAUUUCGAAAAAUUUUAAUCUAAUUUAACUUUUUAAUAAAAUAAAAUGAAAUUUUAAAAUUUUAAAAAAAAUAAUUCAAUUAAAAUAUUUCAAGGUUAAAAUAUAAAUUUAUCAUUAUACUUUAUUUUCAUUGAUAUGUGUCAUUUAUAUUUUAAUAAUAUGAGCAAAAUUUUAUGCAAUUUAAUUCUAUUUCUAAGCUUUGAUUUUAUUUCAUAUUUGAAAUUUACAAUUAACUUUGAUUUUUCAAUUAAAUUUUACUUAAAUUUGAUAAAUUGAAAACUUGAUUUAAUAAAAAAAUUCAGAUAUUUUAUUUUAAUAGUUAACAAUGAUUUAACUUAUAAAUAUUAAAAAUUAAUAAAUUAACUUAGAAGUUGUAUUUAAUGAAUCGAAAUCUUGAAAUAAUAAGAAAAACAAGUUUAUUUUAUAAAAUAGCCAUUUUUAUUUAUUUUAAUAUUAUAUUAAUUAAAAUAUUAUUGAUAAAUAUUAAAGUAAAAUAUAAAAAUAAUUUAAUAAAUUUUGUCUUCAAAUUAUUUAAAAUUAAACUUGGCAAAAUUCAAUUAAAAUUUUAACUUUAAAAUAAAAAAUCAAAAUAGAGUUAAAGUUUAAUGAUAAAUUUAUCUUUAAUUUAUAAAAACAAUGAUAAAAUAUUAAUCAUAAUUUUCAAUUUCCACUGAAAAUAUAGUCACCAAAUUUCAUAUUUACCAAACAUUUUAAUAUAAAAUUAUAAGGUAUGGCAUUUAAAAAAAAUUAUUUCAUCUCAACCUAAAACAAAACUUUUAAUGUUGUGCUUACCAAUAAAUAGAGUGGAAAAGGGUGGGGAUAUAUAAAAUUCAACUUUAAAGCAAGUGUGAAGGGAGAAUAAUUUUUUAGGAGACGAAUGAAAUUUUAAUUUUUUAUAUAAUUUAUAUUUUUGUAAUUUUUAAAUAAUUAAAUUAAAUUUUUAUAAUUUUAGGGGCUCAAAGUAUAAUUUUAUUUUUAUUAUUUUAAAAUUUUAAAAAAAUUAGAGGAAGUAAUCGCCUCUGCCCUAAAGGAUGCUUCCAACCAUGUGAAAGAUAAUUUGCCUCAUUGAUGAUGCAAUGAAGAUGAUGGGUCAAAGAAAAAAGUGAUAAGCAACCAAAGAAAAGAAGGUCAAACAGCCUAAUUGGAGGUCCAAAUUAAUAUGGAGAUUAGGAUUUGGCAAAUUAGCAUGUUAGCCGAAAGCCGAACUGUGGUGGCCAUCUGCGUCAAAGAAAAUCAAAUAUGACUAGUCUAGAAAGAUUGUUUUGAAUGAGAAUAGGUUGAUGGUUUCGUGGUCAGUCGGGAAAAUUAAAGAAUGACAAAUAUUGACUAUUUUCUGAAAUAUUAUCAACUCAAAUCUUGAAACAUCUCUUACUUGGUAAUUUAGUGCUAAACCAAAAACUAAUUAAUGUUUGUAAAAAUAGAUUAGCGACUUAAAAUGGCAGUGUCUGUGUGAUAAUGGCGGGGAACCCAAUGUAGUAUUCACUGCCUCUCAGCCUCACAUCUUCAUUAUUUGCAUUCCCUUCCCAAUCUAUAAUAAUAAACGCAUCAACUAAAUCGAAUUUAAAAUCUAUCUUUACCAUCAUGUAUAGUAAUUCUACUUGAAGAUAAAUUAAAUUCCCAAAAAAUAAUUAAAAAAAAACACUUCAAAUUGCAAGUAAUUGGUGAUGUUAGCAAUGACACUAACAUCUCGAAGCUGUUUCUUAGGGUGUCAGAUACAUUAUUUACGGAAAUGGGUUGUUUUUUUAGGUCGAGCCUACCUGACAGGCGCGACCCAUUUUUUUAAUAAUAUAAUUUAUUUUUUUUAAAUAUUAUUAUUUUAUUAUAUUUUAAUAAUUUUUAAAUUCGGGUCAAAACCGGGUCGAGCCAGACCCGGAGGUGCGACCAGUCGCUCCUGCUGCAGAGGCGUGACCAGUCGCUCCUGCUGCAGAGGCGCGACUCCCCUACAGCCCGCCACGUGUCCCUGCCCCCCACCCGCCGGCCCUGCACCCUCCCAUGCCACCUGAGAGAAAAGAAAAAAAAAUUAUUAAGGCUCCGUUUGGCAACCAGGAAAACAUUUUCCGGAAAAUGUUUUCCUGGUUUUACGUUGUUUGGUAACCUGAAAACAUUUUACCUAUGGAAAACAUUUUCAGGAACACGGGUAAAAUUGCUUGCUUUUUAUGUAAAAUGUCUUACAGAUUUUUUUCCUGUAAGACAUUUUCCAAACUCAGUGCACCGUUCAUCUUCCUUCUUCUUCUUCUCAUCCAAGUAACUUUUCUCCUUCUUCUUCUUCUAUUCUCCCUAAGCUCUCACUUUCUCGAACAUUUCAAUACAAAGAAUCGAAUUUAUUAUUUCUUUUCACUUUUACCCAUCUCUGCGAUUUACGUUUUUUUUCUAAGGAUAGCUGGGAAUUUGUUUAAAGAUCUCGUGCGGCAAAGGAUUCCACUUCCAUAGCAUCCUCUAGGUAUUGGCAAUAUGCCAUUGUUUAUGUUAAUAAAAAUUAUCAAAUUUCAUUCAAUCUUAUGCUCCAUUCUUCAUUUGCCUUCUAAAAAUUCUAAGUUCUGUUCUCCAUUCUUGACAGUAGCUAAAAGCUUGAACUUCAAGCAUUUUUCCUUCAUAUUUUACCCGGGUAUAAUACGUUGCUGCUGGUGCUCUGUUUGAAAUUCUUACUUUACCCGGUUAAAGUGUGUUGAAACUCCAACAACUGUUUUAUAAUAAUUGAGUAUUAUUAUAUAUUUAAAAUGAUUUAUAAAUAAAUCAUUGCAAUACAUGUAAAAACAAUUUAAAAUAUAAAUUUAUUAAUACAGUAUUGGGCAAAUGCUCAAAAUUGGCCUUUAGCCAUGAAAACCGCAAUGUGGCAAAUUUCCCCUCACUUGGGGAGUGUCCAAGUAACUCGUAGCAAAGGCGAGCCGGCCUCGAGAUCGAACUUACGCCCGUGACCACAUUCCCGUCGAUAGGGAGCCCUAGCUGUACUGCAACGUCCUCUAAAGUUAUGGUGCACUCCCCGCACGGCAAAUGAAAUGUGUGCGUCUCCGGACGCCAUCGCUCGACUAAAGCAGAAAUUAAGUGAUAUCGUAGAUCAAAAGUCCGGAUCAAUGCUGCUGAUCCGAACCCCACUAACUCUAAGAACGGUAUUACAUGUUCAUCCGGCUGAAGCCCUACAUUAUAAAUACGACCCCUCAAUACGCGGUACUUGACCUGAGAUUAUUAUAUUUACGAAAUGGUUAAUACAAUAUAAUUUCAUUCAACAAAUAAUGUGACUAUCAAAUAAAAUUUUCAUUACGAUCUCAUUAAUGUUACUCGAUAUGUGACCCUUAUUUUCAUUAUCAAUCAACCAACCCAUUUGCUGCAAAUCUGCAAUUAAAAUUAUCAAAUAAAUAAAAAUUAUAAAUUUACAUUAUAUCAAAAUUACAUUAAAAUUACAUUAAAAUUUCUUACUCUCUUCAGAAUUAUUUAAUUCUAUUUCUUACUCUCUUUAGAUCGUUUAUUCAACAUCUUUCCAUAUUCAAAGUAACUUAUUUCUCAUAUACUCACUUUCAACUAGUCAAUUAUGCAUCUAUUCAACCGCAAAGCACUACAUUACUUCCAAUCAUAAAGCCAAAUGCAUUUUAACAUAUCAUUUAUAUUAAUGUGUUUAAUUCUUUAAUAUAUAUUAAUUCUCUUGUUAUGUGUUUUAUACAAGUUAAAAUAUAAGCAUAAUUUAUUAACAGUCUAUUUUACUCUUAAAAAUAUUUUAUUUUUUCCUUAAGUUUUGAUUAAAUUUUUAUAAAAUUUAAAAGAACUAUUUUUUUAACACUUUACAUAGGUAAAUUUAAUUAAUUUUAAAAGUUUGAAAUUAAAUUAAAUUAUAAUUUAAGAAUAUUUGAAAAGAUUAACUCUCAAGUUUAUACAUUUUACAUAGGUAUAAAUUUUUAUUUUAUUUUUUAGAAUGUAUUAGCCACUAUAUUUCUCACUUUUUGUUAACAAUGAAGUGAAUGCUAGUAAAGUUUUUUUAAAAUAAAAUACAAAAAAUAUUGAUUCCAAGUAAAUCCAGAAAUGGACAAUAACUGGCAAAAUAUUGAUUUUUUUAUAUAUUUAUUUAAAAGGGAGGCUGCCAUCAAGCUAUCAAAAUCGAGCAUCAAUGGCAAAAUAAUGGGGUUUUUUACCCAACUAGAUUAAAAAAAAUUAAAACACCAAAAUAGGAUGUUAGAUAAAAGUAAAACAAAAAUCAUGGACUUGAAAAUUCAACAAAAAAAAGUUUAAAUUAAAAAACAAAUAAAGCAAGACUUGACAAGUAGUAUUAAAAACAAAAACAAAAAUUAGCAAUUAAUAAACUAUAUUCAAGCACAAUAAUUACAUAACACUCUUAAAUUACUAAUAUUUUACUUUUUUUACAAAUGUAAUUUUUUUUAAUUUUAAAAUAAUUACAAAUACUAAAAAUUAUCACAUAACACUAAACUACUAACAUUUUAAUAUUAAAAUAAUUAUAAAAAAAUUACUAACAUUUUUCUUCUUUCUCCUCCUUCUCCUUCUUUUUCUUCUUCUUCUUCUUCUUUUCUCUCUUUGCUGCUGCAUUCAAAAAAUUGGGGGACCGGUGCUUAUAUGGUCCCCCAUUACAAAAUUUUAUUUUUUUCUCUCUGUCUCUACAGGUGGCAUGGGGGGUGGGGGGUAGGGACACGUGGCGGGCUGCAGGGGAGUCGCGCCUCUGCAGCAGGAGCGACUGGUCGCGCCUCUGGGUCUGGCUCGACCCGGUUUUGACCCGACUGAAUUUUAAAAAUUUAAAAAUUAUUAAAAUAUAAUAAAAUAAUAAUAUUUAAAAAAAAUUAUAUUAUUAAAAAAAUGAGUCGCGCCUGUCAGGUAGGCUCGAUAAAAAAAAACAACCUAUUUUUGUAAAUAAUGUAUCUGACACCCUAUUUUAGUAUUUUAAAAUUUUUUUUAACUCAAUUGGAAACCCUGUUUCUUAGUUUGGUUGAUGGCCAGUUUCCUGUUGGGACUCUUCGACAAGACGGACAAGUGCCAUCGUAGGAAGGGAAAAGGACCACUAUUUAUUGCUCAAUUUGACUUGCUUUCCUCUCUAUUUAUAGCUUUUUGCUUUUUCUAUAAUUACUUUUUCACUUUGAAAUUUCCUUCGUUUAUUAUAAAAUUUGGAUACAACCAAAUAUAUUUCAAUUACAUUUAUAUUAAUAUAAGUAUUAAAAUUAAUAAUUAUAUUCAAUAACUUAAUUAAACUAAUUAAAAUUAUUAAUUAAUAUAAUUGACAUAAUUACAUUUAUAUUCAAUUACUUCAUAAAGUAACAUUAUUUAAAAUAAUAACUAAUUGACAUAAUUAACAUAUAUAAAUUAUUUUAAUCAUUCAAAUAUAAUACUAAUAAAAAUAUAUUUUAAUCAUUAUUAAAUUAUUUGUACAAACUAUAAAAAAUUGAGAAAAUGUAAAUUAAAUUCUUCACUAUUCAAAUUAUUCCUUUUUUAUUAGUCAAUAAUUUGACUUCAUAAAUACAAUUAUAAUACAUUAGAUGCAUUAUUCAUAAAAUUUUAUAUAUUAAAUAUGGAGUUACCUUUUUUUUUUGAAACAAAGUAAUAUAUCUUUUAGUUAAUGGAAACAUAAUAAUUUAAACAAAUUAUUUUUAUCUAAUAACUAUAAAGUGGUUUAAUAUAAAAUUUAUUUUUAUUAUUAUAUAAAUUCAUUUAAUAAUUUUUUAAAAAUAGAAUCAAAAUUUUUAUCUAGAUAAAAAAUCUUAUUAAAUCAAUUGGUUUAGUAAAAUUAAAAUUAUUGUGGCAAAACUUAUAAAUAAUAAAAGAAAACAUGGUUUUGUUUUUGCCAUCUGCCCCUCGAAUCUUACUAUAAAUAAAUUAAUUAGCUAAACGUAUGGCUGAAUUCAUUGGUUGAGUUGGCAUGAAUAUGAUAUUGAUUGGUUGAUGGAUAUAUCCAAUUUAAAAUUUGAAUGAACAAGGUAUGUGUUUCUUAGUUGAUUGAAUGAUUUAUAUAUUGAUGCGCAUUUUUCUUGAAGAGAAAACAAAAAUAUUUUUAUUUCCACUAUAGUUUUCUCCACCCAAAGAAGCAAUGCAGCUGAAGGAUGAUAUUUACUAGUUUAAAUAUUAAAGGAAAAAAUUAAUUAAGAGUUAGUCUGUACCGGAUUCGAAGGUUGAGAUAAAUAAUAAUAGUGCCAUCCCUGGAUUUUGCAAAUCAACUUUGAAAAUACUAGAAUCCUUAUUCAGUUUUUUGCCAAUCUGUUGGUGGUUUGGUCACAUAGGCGUAACAAAGAAACGCAGACAUAAUUUUAAAUUCCGAAACGUUGAAAGCAAUUUUAGGAAGCAGUAAGUUAACCAACGUUCAUUGUGGGCCUUUUUACUUAUAUAAUAUACAAAAAUAUAAAAACAUUUAAAAUGGUAUACCACCCCGAUUAAUUACAAGAAUGGAAUAGUAGAGGGUGGUGCAUUUAAAUUCUAACACAAACAACUGAUAAAUUUAAAAGAAAAAUAUAAAACAUUUUUUCAAUGGUGCAACAUUUUUUAUAAGCAGCACCAAAGUAUUUUUUCAUAACGAUGCCUAUGAAAAAUGCAGCAUCAAUGAGUUUAAGUGGUGGUGCUCAUGAGAAAUGCAACACCAACCGUUAUCCUAUUGUUUAGAGGAAUUAGAUAAAUUCACGUAGUAACUAAUCAUUAAAUUUAUAUAAUUAUCACUAUAAUUCAUAAAGAAUCAUUGUGCCUGUUCAAAAGUUAAGAAACUAAAAUUCCUAAUGAUUGAUGUAUAUAUAAUAUAACCCCACUACAUGGUUAAAGUUUUUUAACUGACCCACACGCAAAUAGCAUCUAAUAUUGUUGUAUAUAUUACUGAAAAUUUGAAGACCAAAACUACUUUUUCUAUACAUACAGAAACAAAUUCCCUUCGAUGUAAGCUUCUCAAAGCAUUGCUCCACGUUUACUAUUGUUUUAGCACUGCAUUCAAGAAACAUGAAUCUAAUAUGAUAACAAUUAGUGCCGCCUUUCUCAUGGACAUCUUAAAUUCAUUGGUAUAGUCUUUCCCAUGAGCACUAUCAUCAUCUAAACUCAUAUAUAACUCAUGUACUGGAAUCGUAUGAGAAAAAUAUUUUGACACCGUUUAUAAUAAGAUUACACCAUUAAAAAAUUAUUCUUUUAAACUGUUAACUAUUCGUAUCAAAAUUUAGUGGUGGUGUCGCCUAUACAUUACUCAAACACUCCAUCCCCAUAAUUAAUCGGGAUGGUGUAUCAUUUUAGUUAUAUUUAUAUAUUUUUAUAUUACAUAUGUAAAAAAAAGCCUUGAUUGUAUUUGACAAAAUGUAAAAUAAUGCGUAUAGAUUAAAAUUUUAUUAUUCUAAACAUGUCAGAUGUGAGUACAAACGACUAAUAAUACAUCCAAAAGAAAUAAUGAUUAUGAAGCUGAUGACAUCAGUGACAACAGAAAUUUCAACACCUUCCCCUCCCUUUCUCUGCUUUGACCAUCCAUUCCCUCUAUUUAUAUUCUUUCUGCCUUCCCCAAUUUCCUCUGCACGCCCAGACGAAAAUGGUAUCUUAUUUAUCCUUUCUUUUGCCUUUCGCUCCAUUUUUUGUCACCUUUUUGCUUUUUUUUCUUUUAGUAGAACAAAUCUCUUACUUGCGUAAAAAGCGAAAUGUCCCUGGCCCCAAUAUCAUCUUGCCUUUUUUGGGCAACGCCAUUUCAUUAAUCACAAAACCAACAAGCUUCUGGGAAGUUCAAGCUGAUUUGACUGCUUCUCUUGGAUUUUCUGUUAAUUAUAUCAUCGGUCGCUUCAUCGUCUUUAUCCGAAACACCGAGCUUUCCCACCUUAUCUUCGCUAACGUCCGGCCCGAUGCUUUUUUACUUGUGGGACACCCCUUUGGUAAAAAGCUUUUCGGUGAACAUAACAUGAUUUAUAUGUUCGGACAGGAUCACAAAGAUCUUCGCCGUCAAAUCGCUCCUAACUUCACUCCUAGGGCUCUCUCUACCUAUACUGCAUUGCAACAGAUUAUCAUUCUCCAACACUUAAGGUCGUGGGAGCGUCUUUCCUCGGAAUCGCCGGGGAAGCCGAUUUCUCUCCGCCUAUUAGCUCGCGACAUGAAUCUCGAAACCUCUCAAACUGUUUUCGUGGGCAGGUAUUUGUCUCGUGAAGCUCGGGACAAGUUCAGAGACGAUUAUAAUCUAUUCAAUACAGGUUUAAUGAAGCUCCCGUUUGAUCUCCCCGGUUUCGCGUUCCGAAACGCCAGGCUGGCCGUUGAGCGAUUAGUCGAAACCCUUAGUGAUUGUGCUACUCAAAGUAAAAAGAGGAUGUCUGAAGGAGACGAGCCUUCUUGUUUAAUCGAUUUUUGGAUGCAAGAAACUGUUAGAGAAAUAGCGGAGUCCCAAACGGCGCCACCUCACUCUAGCGAUGUAGAAAUCGGCAGUUACCUCUUUGAUUUUCUCUUCGCCUCUCAAGACGCCUCCACUUCGUCGCUCCUCUGGGCGGUGACCCUCCUCGACUCUCAUCCCGAUGUUCUCCGGAGAGUUCGGGAGGAAGUGUCAAGG